GUGGGGAAUUUUGGACAAUGGGCGCAAGCCUGAUCCAGCAAUGCCGCGUGUGUGAAGAAGGCCUUCGGGUUGUAAAGCACUUUUGGCAGGAAAGAAAUAGUGCGUGCUAAUACCAUGCGCGAAUGACGGUACCUGCAGAAUAAGCACCGGCUAACUACGUGCCAGCAGCCGCGGUAAGACGUAGGGUGCAAGCGUUAAUCGGAAUUACUGGGCGUAAAGCGUGCGCAGGCGGUUUUGUAAGACAGGUGUGAAAUCCCCGGGCUCAACCUGGGAACUGCACUGGUGACUGCAAGGCUAGAGUGUGUCAGAGGGAGGUGGAAUUCCGCGUGUAGCAGUGAAAUGCGUAGAGAUGCGGAGGAACACCGAUGGCGAAGGCAGCCUCCUGGGAUAACACUGACGCUCAGGCACGAAAGCGUGGGGAGCAAACAGGAUUAGAAACCCGUGUAGUCC
rnacentral:rRNA from 1 species